UACGUAGGUGAACAGCGUUGUCCGGAUUUACUGGGCGUAAAGAGCGCGCAGGCGGUCGUUCAAGUCGAGUGUGAAAGCCCCCGGCUCAACUGGGGAGGGUCAUUCGAUACUGAUCGACUUGAAGGCAGGAGAGGGAAGUGGAAUUCCCGGUGUAGUGGUGAAAUGCGUAGAUAUCGGGAGGAACACCAGUGGCGAAGGCGACUUCCUGGCCUGUUCUUGACGCUGAGGCGCAAAAGCUAGGGGAGCAAACGGG
rnacentral:rRNA from 1 species